GCCCGAGUGGUGAAAUUGGUAUACACAGGAGACUUAAAAUCUCCCGACCUCACGGUCGUGCCGGUUCAAGUCCGGCCUCGGGCACCA
rnacentral:tRNA from 1 species